rnacentral:rRNA from 1 species
CACACGCCCGUCAAGCCACGAAAGCGGGGAGUGCUCGAAGUCGCUUCGCUCAACCUUCGGGAGAGCGGCGCUAAAGCAAGCUUCGUGAUUGGGAC